rnacentral:rRNA from 1 species
UACGAAGGGGGCUAGCGUUGCUCGGAAUCACUGGGCGUAAAGGGUGCGUAGGCGGGUCUUUAAGUCAGGGGUGAAAUCCUGGAGCUCAACUCUGGAACGGCCUUUGAGACUAGAGGACUUGGGUACGGGAGAGGUGAGUGGAAUUCCGAGUGUAGAGGUGAAAUUCGUAGAUAUUCGGAAGAACACCAGUGGCGAAGGCGGCUCACUGGCCCGUUACCGACGCUCAGGCGCGACAGCGUGGGGAGCAAACAGG